rnacentral:lncRNA from 1 species
AUUUUCCAAAAAUUCGAAAAUUUGAAAAAACAAGACGCGUGAAAUUUCAACUGAUGAUUUUGCAUUUUUAAGACGGCGAUGAAGUAAAUUAAAUCGUAGGAAAAACUUCACUAACAUCUCAAGUAUGGAAAGCAUCUACAUUAUGAGCAUUUUAAUUUUGGAUUGAUUCAAAUUUCAGGCGAUAAAGUUACAUAGCUAGGAGUUGGCUUUAAUGUGCCCCUAUAAUGUGACGCUUGAUAAACGAGGGCCGAAGGCACGAGCCGAGCGCCGCAGGGGCAAGGUGUUGUUCGGGGGGUCCGGGGACAUGCCCCCCUGAAAAUUUUUAAAUUUAGAGUCUCUGAAAUGCCAUUUCCUGGACUUUGGGGGGAAGAUUUAACAGAAAUCUGAUGGUCAGGAAACGAGAUUAUAACGAGUCGAAAUUUGCAAUUUGGUUAGAAUUUCCGUAGAGGAACUUAAAUUGGUACGGUAUCAGUUUUACUAUAAAUCUUUAUUUUAGAUUAAUUGUG